rnacentral:rRNA from 1 species
GCGAGUAAUGUCGGGAACUCCAGGGAGACUGCCGGUGAUAAACCGGAGGAAGGUGGGGACGACGUCAAGUCAUCAUGGCCCUUACGAGUAGGGCUACACACGUGCUACAAUGGCGCAUACAGAGGGCAGCCAACUUGCGAAAGUGAGCGAAUCCCAAAAAGUGCGUCGUAGUCCGGAUUGGAGUCUGCAACUCGACUCCAUGAAGUCGGAAUCGCUAGUAAUCGUGGAUCAGAAUGCCACGGUGAAUACGUUCCC